rnacentral:tRNA from 1 species
AAGAUCUUAUGUUAAAAAAACAAAUAGCCUUCAAAGCUAUUAUUAUAAGAUAACCCUUAUAGGUCUUA